rnacentral:rRNA from 1 species
AGAGUUUGAUCCUGGCUCAGGACGAACGCUGGCGGCGCGCCUAACACAUGCAAGUCGAACGGAGCUGAGAGGAGCUUGCUUUUCUUAGCUUAGUGGCGAACGGGUGAGUAACGCGUGAGUAACCUGCCCUGGAGUGGGGGACAACAGUUGGAAACGACUGCUAAUACCGCAUAAGCCCACGGCCCGGCAUCGGGCUGCGGGAAAAGGAUUUAUUCGCUUCAGGAUGGACUCGCGUCCAAUUAGCUAGUUGGUGAGGUAACGGCCCACCAAGGCGACGAUUGGUAGCCGGACUGAGAGGUUGAACGGCCACAUUGGGACUGAGACACGGCCCAGACUCCUACGGGAGGCAGCAGUGGGGAAUAUUGCACAAUGGGGGAAACCCUGAUGCAGCGACGCCGCGUGGAGGAAGAAGGUCUUCGGAUUGUAAACUCCUGUUGUUGAGGAAGAUAAUGACGGUACUCAACAAGGAAGUGACGGCUAACUACGUGCCAGCAGCCGCGGUAAAACGUAGGUCACAAGCGUUGUCCGGAAUUACUGGGUGUAAAGGGAGCGCAGGCGGGAAGACAAGUUGGAAGUGAAAUCUAUGGGCUCAACCCAUAAACUGCUUUCAAAACUGUUUUUCUUGAGUAGUGCAGAGGUAGGCGGAAUUCCCGGUGUAGCGGUGGAAUGCGUAGAUAUCGGGAGGAACACCAGUGGCGAAGGCGGCCUACUGGGCACCAACUGACGCUGAGGCUCGAAAGUGUGGGGAGCAAACAGGAUUAGAUACCCUGGUAGUCCACACCGUAAACG